AAGACAAGAUUCAGAAAUACAGUCGACAUAGGAACACCUAGUACCAAACACCAGUAUCACCUAGUAACAAGCACCAGCCUCUGGAAAUACCUCCAGGGAAAACAGGUCCCUGGCUGCCUUCCCACAUCUCAUGGGACCAACCAUGA